rnacentral:rRNA from 1 species
GAUGAACGCUGACAGAAUGCUCAACACAUGCAAGUCUACUUGAACUUCGGUUUGGGUGGCGGACGGGUGAGUAACGCGUAAAGAACUUGCCUCACAGUUAGGGACAACAUUUGGAAACGAAUGCUAAUACCUGAUAUUAUGAUUUUAGGGCAUCCUAGGAUUAUGAAAGCUAUAUGUGCUGUGAGAGAGCUUUGCGUCCCAUUAGCUAGUUGGAGAGGUAACGGCUCACCAAGGCGAUGAUGGGUAGCCGGCCUGAGAGGGUGAACGGCCACAAGGGGACUGAGACACGGCCCUUACUCCUACGGGAGGCAGCAGUGGGGAAUAUUGGACAAUGGACCAAAAGUCUGAUCCAGCAAUUCUGUGUGCACGAUGACGUUUUUCGGAAUGUAAAGUGCUUUCAGUUGGGAAGAAAAAAAUGACGGUACCAACAGAAGAAGUGACGGCUAAAUACGUG